GAUGAACGCUGGCGGCGUGCUUAACACAUGCAAGUCGAGCGAGUGAGUUCUUCGGAACGAUCUAGCGGCGGACGGGUGAGUAACACGUGGGCAACCUGCCUCAUAGAGGGGAAUAGCCUCCCGAAAGGGAGAUUAAUACCGCAUAAAAUUAUCGAGUGGCAUCACAUGAUAAUCAAAGGAGUAAUCCGCUAUGAGAUGGGCCCGCGGCGCAGUAGCUAGUUGGUGAGGUAACGGCUCACCAAGGCGACGAUGCGUAGCCGACCUGAGAGGGUGAUCGGCCACAUUGGGACUGAGACACGGCCCAGACUCCUACGGGAGGCAGCAGUGGGGAAUAUUGCACAAUGGGGGAAACCCUGAUGCAGCAACGCCGCGUGAGUGAUGAAGGUCUUCGGAUUGUAAAGCUCUGUCUUUGGGGACGAUAAUGACGGUACACAAGGAGGAAGCCACGGCUAACUGCGUGCCAGCCGCCGCGGUAA
rnacentral:rRNA from 1 species